rnacentral:rRNA from 1 species
CGCGUGCCUAACACUUGCAAGUCGAGCGAUUUACUUCGGUAAAGAGCGGCGGACGGGUGAGUAACGCGUGGGUAACCUGCCCUGUACACACGGACAACAUACCGAAAGGUAUGCUAAUACGGGAUAAUGUACUUUUGUCGCAUGGCAAGGGUAUCAAAGCUCCGGCGGUACAGGAUGGACCCGCGUCUGAUUAGCUAGUUGGAGAGGUAAUGGCUCACCAAGGCGACGAUCAGUAGCCGACCUGAGAGGGUGAUCGGCCACAUUGGAACUGAGACACGGUCCAAACUCCUACGGGAGGCAGCAGUGGGGAAUAUUGCACAAUGGGCGAAAGCCUGAUGCAGCAACGCCGCGUGAGCGAUGAAGGCCUUCGGGUCGUAAAGCUCUGUCCUCAAGGAAGAUAAUGACGGUACUUGAGGAGGAAGCCCCGGCUAACUACGUGCCAGCAGCCGCGGUAAUACGUAGGGGGCUAGCGUUAUCCGGAAUUACUGGGCGUAAAGGGUGCGUAGGUGGUUUCUUAAGUCAGAGGUGAAAGGCUACGGCUCAACCGUAGUAAGCCUUUGAAACUGA